rnacentral:lncRNA from 1 species
GGUAUGUGAAGGAGAUCACAAUACUCGAUACUUCCAUGCGAUGGUUCAAGGACGCCGUAUCAGAUCGCGUAUUAGGUCCAUCAGGACACAGGCAGGGGAAGUCUUAGCUACUCCUGCUGAUAUUCAGACCUCGGCUAUUGCUUUCUACCAGGAUCUCUUAUCUACUCCUCCACAACCUUUGGACCACAUUCGUUCUGAUGUCAUUCCGAGGCUUUUGACGGAGGAUGAUAAUUUGGC